rnacentral:lncRNA from 10 species
GUGAAUUGCUACUACUAUGGAGAUCCCUGUGGAGGCUGUGGAUAUAGCCCUGGCUCUGGCUGUGGUGAUGGGUCGAGCUACGGCUGUGUCAAUGGCUCUCAUUCUGGCUGUGUUUGCAAUGGCUAAUUAUCUAUUUUGCUACAGAGCAUGCUAGACGUCUUUCUGUUAGAAAAUCACUAUCAGAGCAUUAUUUGCUGCUGA